rnacentral:rRNA from 1 species
GAUGAACGCUGGCGGCGUGCCUAAUACAUGCAAGUCGAGCGAACAGACGAGGAGCUUGCUCCUCUGACGUUAGCGGCGGACGGGUGAGUAACACGUGGAUAACCUACCUAUAAGACUGGGAUAACUUCGGGAAACCGGAGCUAAUACCGGAUAAUAUAUUGAACCGCAUGGUUCAAUAGUGAAAGACGGUUUUGCUGUCACUUAUAGAUGGAUCCGCGCCGCAUUAGCUAGUUGGUAAGGUAACGGGUUACCAAGGCAACGAUGCGUAGCCGACGUGAGAGGGUGAUCGGCCACACUGGAACUGAGACACGGUCCAGACUCCUACGGGAGGCAGCAGUAGGGAAUCUUCCGCAAUGGGCGAAAGCCUGACGGAGCAACGCCGCGUGAGUGAUGAAGGUCUUCGGAUCGUAAAACUCUGUUAUUAGGGAAGAACAAAUGUGUAAGUAACUAUGCACGUCUUGACGGUACCUAAUCAGAAAGCCACGGCUAACUACGUG